CACAGGUGGCCAGCUAUUCAAACCAGGUUCAACAGGCAAAUACCAAGCUUUAACUGGCUGAGCCGUCUGUAUCCCUCCUUCCAUCUUCUGUUCUUCAAUUACCUUUUUUUUUGCCUGUAAACAUUAACCAGCCAUGUGGCAGCCUCAGGAGUCUUUCAGAACCUGUUCUGGUUCUGAGGAUUGCCCGACGCACAAAUAGUUCUUUGCUCAAUUAAAUGCUGUUACAUUUAAUUUGUCUAAAGCUUUUCUUUUAACAGAUGUUUAUAAGAUAGGUGUUCAUAAGCAAGAGAAUGUAACUCUAUUUGCCUUUAAAUACUUGUUAUGAAGAAGUUAUAUUUGCAAAGUUCUAAGAAAGCUGCAAUCACUUGCUGUUGCCGGAAACUGCCUUGUGGCCUGGCGUCCUGGGAAUUUGCUUGGCUUUUUGUGGCCGCCAUCCAAAACUGGGAACCACAAGUCAAAGGCAUUCAAUGCUAUAAACUUCAAUAGGCCCUAAAUCUUAUGAUUGAUGUCCUCAUAAGGGGAAAGGGAGUUGAAGACACUCCCUGAAGACACACAUAAAUGGAGAUGGCCAUGUGAAGUUGGAGGCAGAGAUUGAAGUGAUGUGUCUAUAAGUCAUGAACGCCAAGGAUUGCCAGAAGCUACCAGAAGCUAAAAGACAGGCAUAGAGCAAAUUCUUUCUCACAUCCUCCAGAAUGAACCAAUCCUACUAACACCUGGAUUUCAGACUUCCAACCUCUAGAACCAUGAAAGAAUAAAUUUUUGUUGCUUUAAG
rnacentral:lncRNA from 10 species